ACGAACGCUGGCGGCGUGCUUAACACAUGCAAGUCGAACGGAAAGGCCCUGCUUUUGUGGGGUGCUCGAGUGGCGAACGGGUGAGUAACACGUGAGUAACCUGCCCUUGACUUUGGGAUAACUUCAGGAAACUGGGGCUAAUACCGGAUAGGAGCUCCUGCUGCAUGGUGGGGGUUGGAAAGUUUCGGCGGUUGGGGAUGGACUCGCGGCUUAUCAGCUUGUUGGUGGGGUAGUGGCUUACCAAGGCUUUGACGGGUAGCCGGCCCGAGGGGGUGACCGGCGAGAUUGGGACUGAGAUGCGGCCGAGACUCCUACGGGAGGCAGCAGUGGGGAAUAUUGCACAAUGGGCGGAAGCCUGAUGCAGCAACGCCGCGUGCGGGAUGACGGCCUUCGGGUUGUAAACCGCUUUCGCCUGUGACGAAGCGUGAGUGAGGGUAAUGGGUAAAGAAGCACCGGCUGACUAGGUG
rnacentral:rRNA from 1 species